rnacentral:lncRNA from 1 species
CCAAACUCAGUGCUCCUGAUGCCUGGCCGUCGCUAUGGGAACGCAAACUUUGGACAACAUUGGCUACUCUGACUGACCUGUUAGCUACAGUAGCUAGAUACUUUUACCCCAAAACAAUGAAAUACCUAACGUAGAGAAAUACAUUUCGUUUCCUGGACAAAAUGACUUGGAGAAAUAUCGACCCUUUGUCACUUGAUGAGACCAUUGAUGAAGGGAAAGAGGAGAAGGAUGUGGAGAAGAGAAGAGCCUCGGUGUGGGAACAUCAGGAGCUAGCCCAGAUUCCUAUCAAGGUGCUGAGGGGUCACACAGAUGCUGUCACCGGCUGCCACUUCUGCUUUGAUGACACCAAAGUCCUGACCAGUUCCCAGGACAAGACGGCCGCUCUGUGGGUAGGUCCAUCAAACACAAGUCCACCAAACACUAGGACUGCUUCCCAAAUGAAACACUACUUAUAACCACUAUUCCCUAUAUAGUGCACUACUUAUGACAACUAUUCCCUAUAUAGUGCACUACUUAUGACCACUAUUCCCUAUAUAGUGCACUACUUAUGACCACUAUUCCCUAUAUAGUGCACUACUUAUAACCACUAUUCCCUAUAUAGUGCACUACUUUUGGUGUGCAGGGAAUGUGUAUCCAUUUGGGAGUCGGUGUGUGUUAAUUAAUACAGACGUAAACAUCUCAAGGCAGUUACAAGGUCUGUUAUUUCCUGUCUGUGUGUCUGUCUAUUUCCUGUCUGUGUGUCUGUCUAUUUCCUGUCUGUGUGUCUGUCUAUUUCCUGUCUGUUUGUCUGUUAUUUCCUGUCUGUGUGUCUGUCUAUUUCCUGUCUGUGUGUCUGUCUAUUUCCUGUCUGUGUGUCUGUCUAUUUCCUGUCUGUUUGUCUGUUAUUUCCUGUCUGUGUGUCUGUCUAUUUCCUGCCUUUGUGUCUGUCUAUUUCCUGUCUGUGUGUCUAUUUCCUGUUUGUAUGAUUUCACACACCUAAUCCAUCUCAGUGUUUAUGUGGAUCGUGGUCCACUCCUGGCUGUAGAUGUCGGUCUUAUUUUUUAAUAAUAUAUUCAUGUUGAAAGAUUAUUGUCUGGCCCAUAGAUAUGAAACUGAACUAUAUGAUAUGGCCGUGGCCUAAAUAGCACUCGUAUUCCCUAUAUAGUGCACUACUUAUAACCACUAUUCCCUAUAUAGUGCACUACUUCUGACCAAGGCCUAUAGGUAUGAACCUGAACUAUAUGAUAUGGCCAUGGCCUAAAUAGCACCCGUAUUCCCUAUAUAGUGCACUACUUCUGACCAAGGCCUAUAGGGCUCUGGUCAAGAGUAGUGCACUCUGUAGGGAAUAGGGUGCCAUUAGGGCCACACAUUGUAUGUCUGCUUCUGAAGGACACGGAGAGUGGCGCCGCGCUGUUGGUGUUUGAGAGAGGACAUCUGUCCAACAUCUCUGAGUGUGCCUUGAUCCCUGACAAGAAAAGGUGAGUUGUCAGUGUGUUCCCAUCGCCUACCCUUCUCCAGGAGUGUGCACUCGUACACUCCAAACAUAUUCCUAACACCAGAGGGGGAGUGUACACUUUGCACACUUUGGGAGAAGGGUAGAUCAUCAUAAUGGAGCCUUGCUGUUAUCAGAAUGGACCACAGAAGCCCUUGUCUGUUUGUUGUGACUAGUGAUUUAUACAUGAGUUAUAACUUCAUUUAGUUGUUUUGUUUCCUCAAAUAUCACAUCCCACAUAUCUGGUUAUAGGGCUGGGGAUAGGGAUGGUUAUAGGGCUGGGGAUAGGGCUGGUUAUAGGGCUGGGGAUAGGGAUGGUUAUAGGGCUGGGGAUAGGGCUGGUUAUAGGGCUGG